GAUUCACUCAUCAUCUCCACUCAAAUCCCUAACACCCCAAAAAAUCAAUUCCAGAGAGAAGAACAAAAAAUGGGACGGAAAAAGGGAGUAGAGUUCGAUGAAGGAGCACCAGAUAACUUCGACCCAAACAAUCCAUACAAAGACCCAGUUGCAUUCUUCGAGAUGAGAGAACAUUUAGUAAGAGAGAAAUGGAUCGACAUUGAAAAAGCUAAGAUCCUUCGUGAUAAACUACGUUGGUGUUACCGUAUCGAAGGUGUUAAUCAUCUUCAAAAGUGCCGUCAUCUUGUUCAGCAGUAUCUUGAUGCUACACGUGGUAUUGGUUGGGGCAAGGAUCUUCGUCCUCCAUUUAUGCACGGGCCGAAGGAGGUUGAAGCUGUUGAGUCCGAAUGAUUCGUUUCUGUUCUUUCAGGUAUUGGAAUAUCGAAUUAUUUCCUUACAGUGGUUAAAUACAUAGCAACUCAAUUAAUGGGAUUAUUCAACUAAACGUUAGGGUGAAAGAGGAUGAGCUUUAUCAAAUAAACAAAGUAGCAGGAUGAAAGAGGAGAGUUGCAGGAGAGGAAGUAACAAAGGAGAAGGUUCAUCCAGUUGAAAGUAUAAAAUUCAGAGGUUGUUGGGCUUACCAGCCGGUGAAUUUCAAUGUAUUGCUGCUUCUGUAAUUCACUGCUCUAAGACCUGAUUUUUUUAGUUUCCUGUUUAUGUGGAAGACGACAAUGGUUUGCAAUGGCUUUAACUUCAGCCUAGGUACUUUUUUGUUGAGGGAACUAUAUUUUCAUAGUGGAAAUAAAGGAAAAAACUCAUUGUCUUC